rnacentral:lncRNA from 1 species
AUUCCUCCUGCGCGGGAGCUUUGGGGACGCACUUCUGGAUGCCUAGGCCUCUUCCGUUUGCCUCUGGGACUGGCGAUACUCGAGAUGUCUUGAGGCCUUCCAGACCUUGCUCCACCUCCACCACCAGGUCUCCAGUCCUGAGCCACAUGCUGCCAUUUUUGUCUCAGAAGCACCCCUCUUCCAGGUGGAAGAUUGAAGGUCUGAAGAGUGGGAAGUCCCAGGAACAGGCAAUUCCAGGAAGAUAUGAGGAAAAUCAAGAAAGAGAAGGAAACUGAAGCUAGUGGGAAGUGCUUCAAGUUGGAGAUGAUGCUGAGAUGGCCAAAAAGUGAGAGGUGGAAAACAUUUGGAGUGAGUUAAGGAGAGAACGCGAGGCAAGGAAGUGAAGCUGAUUUUCAAACCUGAGUGAAUGAAUGAAUAAACGGACCUGGGAAUUGAUCAACAAUGGCUGCUGCAUCGCGUAAAGAGAGACGACCAGGUGUCAGCUGGCUGUCAACUGAUCUAGGAUGGUCUUGGAGGGACAACGAGGGCAACCCCAUGUCUCUUCUUUAGCAGGCCAGCCCAGACAUGCUUUCAUGGCUGAAUAGGAGCCAGCCUGGUCAUGGGAGCAAUUUUCAAGCAAGUCUCUGCUUGAAUGUCACAUUUACUAACAUCCUGUUGGCCAAGGUGCAUCCCAUGGCUGAGCCCAGUGUCCAAGUGAAAGGGCACCAGGAAGUUCCCUGCAGCGCUGUGGGUACUGGAAGAAUGGGCGCCAUCUUCAUGACAGCAGCAUGCUAAGUUACAGAAAGUGAGCGGCGUUCUAGACAAAGCAAGCUCAUCUGUGAAUGGAUCAUGGCGGAAACCUGACCACAGUAUGUUGGGAUUUAUGUGUUUGACAUUUUCUAUAAUAGAAAGGCAGAUCAAAAAUAAGGCUCCAGUGCCUCCACUCAGGAAAGCUCAAGUAGGUUUUCUUGAGAAUUUUUAGUGGAUACCCUGUUUUGCAAUGUUCUUUUCUUUUUCUAAUGAGGCUGAACCAGAUUGUAAUGCCAUGAGGCUUCUACAUGGAGAGCUGGACGUUGGUGAGGAUUGGGUGGAGAAGGCCGGGUGGAGGCUGGGCCUGGGAGAAGAGCAGCAGAUUCCCAAACGUACUGGUAUUGGUGCAUACUCUGAGAAAGACAUCUCAGAGCACUUCUGCCGUCAGUUACGAAGUUUCAAUAUAAGAAUUCUUUCUACACA